UACGAGAGGCCCAAACGUUAUUCGGAAUUACUGGGCGUAAAGAGCGCGUAGGCGGCGCUGUACGACUGGUGUGAAAGCCCCCGGCUCAACUGGGGAGGGUCAUCGGUAACGGUAGUGCUCUGAGUGCAGGAGAGGGACGUGGAACUCCGGGAGUAGCGGUGAAAUGCGUAGAGACCCGGAGGAACACCAGUGGCGAAGGCGGCGUCCUGGUCUGCAACUGACGCUGUGGCGCGAAAGCUAGGGGAGCGAACGGG
rnacentral:rRNA from 1 species